CAAAACUUCCGGAUUUCCCAUGUGAGAUGAUGGAAAACCAGAUUUGAAGAAACCGCUGAUGUUAUCAGAAACUCACCACAGCUGUUGGUGAGCUAUGGAGGAAAGUCAUAAGCUUCUUGUGCUAUAUGGCAGCCAGACAGGGACAGCUCAGGAUGUGGCUGAGAGAGUGGGCAGGGAGGGAAAGAGAAGAUGGUUUUCUGUGCAAGUUAUGGCACUGGAUGAUUACAAUGUGGCUAAGCUGAUAGAAGAGGGUCUUGUGGUACUGGUAUGUGCCACCACUGGACAAGGCGACACC